rnacentral:misc_RNA from 1 species
GUGAAUCAUCAAAUCUUUGAACGCAAAUUGCACUCUCCUCGGAGAGUAUGCCUGUUUGAGGGUCAGCCUAUAAAAAAUAGACAUCGUUGAUGAUUAGCGGUGGAGGGCGUCGGAAAUUGGGUCAACUUAAAUCAUUUUGGUUUUUAAGGGAUUUAAAAUUGUCUUUUUGGUUCAAUGAUCGUGUUUGAGAUUUAUUUCUUUACACGUUUAAGGUAUCGAUUUUUAUUGGACGUGCCCAUCAUAUAGGUUUGCGUAGAUAUUC